GUGUCUGUAGCUCAGCUGGAUAGAGUGUCUCCCUCCGAAGGAGAAGGUCGUGGGUUCGACUCCCGCCAGGCACA
rnacentral:tRNA from 1 species